rnacentral:rRNA from 1 species
GAGAGAGACAUGCGCGCAUAUCAAUAAGCGGAGGAAAAGAAACUAACAAGGAUUCCCUUAGUAACGGCGAGUGAAGCGGGAAGAGCUCAAAUUUGAAAUCUUCAAGGUUUUACCUUGACGAAUUGUAGUUUAAAGAAGUGUUUUCUGCUGAAGUUUUGGUAAAAGUUCUUUGGAAUAGGACAUCAUAGAGGGUGAGAAUCCCGUAUUUGACCAUUAUUUUCAGCUUUGUGAUACACUUUCAAAGAGUCGGAUUGUUUGGGAAUGCAGUCCAAAAUGGGUGGUAAGUUUCAUCUAAAGCUAAAUAUUGGCGAGAGACCGAUAGCGAACAAGUACCGUGAGGGAAAGAUGAAAAGAACUUUGAAAAGAGAGUUAAACAGUACGUGAAAUUGUCAAAAGGGAAGCGUUUGACACCAGUGUUGUUUUCUCGAAAAUCAAUUAAAAAUGGCUCGAUUUUGUAUUGCUUGAGACCUUAAAAGCUCACUGUACAUUUUUCGUGUCUUUUUAAAUGCACUUUUCGUUUAACAAGUCAACAUCAGUUUCUUUUGUCGUAAAAGGGUCAUUGGAAGGUGGCUUUCUUUUCGGAGAAAGUGUUUAUAGCCUUUGGCCUCUGCAAUCGAAGAGACUGAGGUCUGCAGCGUAGACUCUUCGGGGUUAGAUACAUUUGUGCUAAGUUAUAGCUUUUUAUAGACAACUUGUUGACUAUAAUUAGUCUUGUAGCUUACUCGCUUAUGCUAUUUUACCUACGCUUAGGAUGUUGAAGUCAUCGUAUCGCGC